AUUAUUUUACCACCUCGAGUUAGGUGUUGACUCCAGGUUAAUGGAAAUGGAAAAUGGAAAUCUUAACUACCGAUAAUUCUGGGUAAUAACGACCUAACUCCCGGACCAUAGGUACCAGUUAAGAUCACGAUAUCAGAAGCGACAUUGUGUAUGAUAAUAGUAUACAGAUAACGUUAAUGUGUUUUUUCUUUGGCUUAUGCAAAUUUAAUUUUGGAUAUUAUGUGUCGUAAUUAGUUUUUGAGCUAAUUGUGCCAUCGGAUUUUGUGCUUAAACGUAAUACAUUGAAAUGUAUCAUAGAAUAAUCUUCGAUAACGAGAACGAGAUUGAUGAAGAAUUCAUUAAUUGCCAUGUAACUAUGACCGCGAAUCUUCUAUGAGUAUGAUGACUACAUAUAAAAGUACAAAAAAAGUUAGUUUUAAAAUUAAGGUCCUCCAUUAAAAAAACCCCCCCCUCCCUUGAAAGAAUUGUUCAAUGUCUAUACUAUUCUACCCAUUUUGCCCAUAGCUCAUCUCCAUUUUUAUACAUUUUUGUUUUAUCUGAUUACUCUAUUAUUGUUUUUUUUUUUUAUUAUCAACUAUAAAAACUAAUUAUUUGAAAUCAUAAUGUCAACUCAUUUGGUUUGUUUCUUUAUGAUGAAAAUACUUUGAAAUUAAAGUAAUUUUAAGUGAACUUAAAGUAUACAUAUUUAAAUUAAUAUUCAAAGGUAAAUAUUUAAAUAAAUAAAUACAAAACUUUAUUAACAUAUUUCUGGUAUUUAUGAUGUUUACAACAAGUUUUUUUUCACCAAACAGUGGUUCUCCAGAAAUCACUGCCAUUGUCAGUCACUUGCAGACAUUUGGAAUGCAUUAGGUCGAACCAUAAAAUAUUAAAAUAUAAAUGAAUAAUCAAAUUAUACAAAAUCAUAAACAUGUAUGAGCCCAUAAUAUUUUCAAAAAAAUAGUACAAUUUCAUGUACUUAACUCUAUUGUUAAGGACAUAGGACAAUGCAUCAAAAAAGAGUACUGUCUUACAAAAAAGAAUAUGUCUGGUCAACAUAUCUAUGAAAGAGUCAAUUAUGUAAAAUUAUUUAAUGAUCAUGAUUUCAUAAAUCGAUUUUUUCUUUCAAUAGCAAUAUAUUUAUGAAAGUCUUAAGAUUGGUAGAAAAAAAUAUAAACUUUUUCCAAAAGGUUAUAAGGUAUUUUAAAUGUUUAUGUUAUGUUUUUUAAUAUGAUAGUGUCAUUGACUAACCUACAGUUACAGUAUGUAAAAAUUUGUAAUUUCUUUUCUUCCAUUUAAAAUAUAUAUUUUUUGUUUCAGAAACAGAGAAAUAUUAGUACCUUGUAAGUCGUACAUGGCAUUGAGGUAUUAUUAGUUUCAAAUAAAUGAUAUUGACAUUAGGAAGGUAGUCACUGGUUUUUACUGUUUUUUUUAGUAGAUUUCCCAAAGUCAUAGGAACUAUAAACUGUACCAACAUAAAAAUUCAAUCACCAGGUAUAAAAUAUAAAUAGUAUUCUCAUCUACUAUAUUUCGUUUUUAUACAACUAUGGUUCUUUGUAUCUUUUAUAGAUGGAAAUAAUGUAAAAAAAUUCAGAAAUAGAAAAAGUUAUUUUUCAUCAAUGUUCAAUGAAUUUGUAAUCCAUGGCACAAAAUUAUGAACUAAGUGGUGCAAUGGCCAGGGUUAUUCUAUAGUCAAAUUGUUUUUUAUCAUUCAUUAAUCAAACAAGUUUGAAAAAGGAGUCAUAAAAGAAUAAAAGCUAUUCCUUUAGUGUGUGACCUACUGAACCGUUAGUUAAUUUAAAAGUAGUUAAAUUAAAAAUAAUAAAAUUAGGUCAUUUUAUUAUUACAGAUUACGGAUUACAUUCAAAAUUAAUCAACAAAAUAUCAAUAAACAAAAAAAAAACUUUUACGUACAUCUUUGGUUCAUCAUGACAUUUAUGAUAUAAAUUAGUUUCAUUAUUUUAUGGUAAUAGUUUAUUAUUUUUCUUAAAAAUUCUAAUACAGUUUUUUCAGAAAAAAUAAUCGCAUACAAUUCAACUGCCAAGAUUUUAAAGUUUUAAACAUAAACAAUUACAGGAUUAAUGUGUGUUUAAUCCACAUUAAUACAUGGACAACAGAAUACGAGGGAUGGAUCUAGAGGAUGACCUAGUGGCUAAGCUUCCCCGACAUAUUAUUUCUUUGAUUUUUGUAUGAGAAAAUAAUAUAUAUGUUAUGUAUGUUAUAAAAUAUCUAUUGGUAAAAUCCAGUGCAUAUAAUAUAAAUAUAAUAAAAUUAUAAAGAUAAUCAAGCAUAGGUUGUCUGUACCCAUAAUAAUAAUAUAGAUAGUCUUUUUUCGCUCAGUAGGUC